rnacentral:rRNA from 1 species
UACAGAGGUGGCAAGCGUUGUUCGGAAUUACUGGGCGUAAAGGGCGCGUAGGCGGCUUGGUCAGUCCCGUGUGAAAUCCCUCGGCUCAACUGAGGAACUGCACGGGAAACUGCCUGGCUUGAGUUCGGGAGAGGGAAGCGGAAUUCCGGGUGUAGCGGUGAAAUGCGUAGAUAUCCGGAGGAACACCGGUGGCGAAGGCGGCUUCCUGGACCGACACUGACGCUGAAGCGCGAAAGCUAGGGGAGCGAACGGG